rnacentral:lncRNA from 1 species
AAAAUAAAAAUAAAAAUAAAUAAAAAUAAAAAAAAUAAAGAUUGGUUUUUGUUUAUCAAUACUGAAUUUGCGAGGACGCUGCAUAGUUAGGAGUGGGGCUAUGUAGAAUGAGUAGUUAUUUUCAGAAUAUAGAUAUCUAGUGUAUAGUAUAAACAGGGAUAGAUAACUGCUGUAAAGGUGAUUCAGCAUGUAGAAUAGAUGAAUAGUCAAGAAAAGUAGUUAUUAUCUGUAGUAUAAGAGUUGGUAUCUCGGGGUAGUAUAAGGAGGAUGGGAGAGAGGAAGAAAAUGCCAGACUAUGAUAGUCAUGAGUCGGGAUAAGCUUGGUGCUAUCUCUUCUUAUUAAUUUUCUUGUUUCUUUUGUGUUAGUAUUGAUUCUAGUGAAGAGAAUCGAUUUAAUGAAUCAAUGUUUGAUUUAUGAAGUUUUUUAUGGAUCACUGUUUAUCAAUUGUUGUGAAAGAUUGAUGAUGUAUGGAAGUUUCCAGUCACUGUUUAUUGUAAGGUUGUGAGUUCAGUGGAGAGGAAUUGUAAUCAAAGGAAUUAUCUCGAUUAGAUUCUGUGGAUUGGAAGAUGUUUGUUCUAGGCUUUGGAUUAUGCUUGUGUGUUCGUGAAUUCCACAGGGUACUGAAAUUGAUGUCGUGGUUAUUAUCAUAUUGAUAUGAGAGAGUAGACAGUAGGAGGAAAAGUUAAGUAUUCUUUGGUAUUGUAAGCAUUCAGUAGUAGUAGUUAAUUUUGUGAUCCUAACAAGUAAAACUCAUGUGCUUAGUCUUUCUUUGUGUUCGAAUUCUCCUAUACAAGUUUAUUCUAGGAGGUUUCU